UAUACAUCAUGUGCACUGUGCAGUUCACCUAACAUCUCAUCUUUCAACCCUCUCUAGCCCUCGCCCGAUUCACUUCCUCAUUCGAUCUUUCGCUGUGUCGUGUCGCCCUUCUUUGAUCGUUGGAGCCGGUAUCUGUAGUUGUGGAUUGAAGCUAUGUACUCCUCGAACGCAUCUGAUGGCUACCCACAGAAGCCCGGUGCCUCUGCUCCGCCACCGCCGCCACCCGUGGAUGGCAUUCCAGUGCAACCCAUGAACCAAAGUUAUGCAAAUUUCGGGGCCCCGAACAAUCCUCUGCCCCCUGCGGGUCUUCAAGCUCGACCCAUUAACAACAUGCCUUGGUCCUCUGGGCUUUUCAGUUGCUUCGACGACGUUCCAACUUGCAAGUCCUCUGGAAUUUUCCUCGCAAUCCAUUUGGUUUAGAGGUGGAUUAACACUUGAUAGAACAGUUAUGCCAUGUAUAAAACUACUGGGCGACAUCUACGAGCAAAAGUCGGACAGUUUAUAGACUGGAGAAUCCAAUUGCAAUUGCCUAGUGUCGCGGGGUUAUCAGAAUUUAGCAAUCGAAUGAUCUUAUACCACUUUGGUUGCUUGUCAUUUUGGUGCCCCUGCAUCACAUUCGGGCGAAUCGCAGAGAUUGCUGAUCACGGAUCGGUUUGUAAGUAGAAUCGAUGACAUUCGCACAAAUCGAAGAAGGAUCGACAUUACUAGACUUGCUCACUCAGAUCAACAACCAUAAAUAUGAUUUCUAAUUAACACGUAAUUUCUUU